CUGCCUUCCUCCCUCUCUAUCGCUCUCUCUCUCUCUCUGUUUCUAUGUCUCUCUCUCUUGCUAUGUAUCUGUCUGUCCUGUGACCGAGGGCAUUCUCUCAGGCACAAUGACAGGGAAACAGAAAAUUGCUGUGAUUUCAACAAGGGGAGCACUCAUUCCAAGCAAUGGCUAGCACCACUUUGCAGACAUGUCAAUCCCCAUGGUCUCCACGUAGAGCACCAGCUGCAGAUAUGUAUUCUACGGAGAGAGAGCAUGUCCAAAAUACCUCUGUUAAGCAGGAGUCAAGAACUGUCAACUGGGCGGUGUCUUUGUGAUGCUACGCAAGCUCACCGCUAAAACAUUGUAAGAACUCUAACAUUGUAUCUAUCUUUCUUUUUCGCUAUGUAUCUCCCUCUCAGUUAUUUCCCGUCUUUCCUAUGGCUUUCUUCUCCAGUGUUUGCUGUUAUUCUAUGCAUGUAUGCCCCACGGGACUAAAUUAACGAGGGAAAAGUCAUCUCUCUCUCUUCCCCUCCUCUCUUUCUCUGUCUUCUUCACACAUUGUUGGUUCUCCAUCUACUGUUAAAAUGAUAUGCAUACCUUUGAGCAUGUGUGUUUCAUAUGGAAGGGCACACUGUCAACAGAACUGCAGCACGAACACAGCUGUUUUUCCUCCACCACUGAAGAGAAGCUGUAAACAAUGCCAAUGAUGAUCUCUGGAAUUCUAACAGAAAAUAUUUGGUCCCUCUCCUCUCGGUGUUGUGCAACAUCCAUCGCUCUGGGCCGGCCUGCGUAGGGAGACAAGAGGGGCAUGGCGCAGUGCGGGGCCCUGACAGUUCUCCCGGUUCUGACCCUUUGCCUGCCCUGACACUGUACCCGCCUGCCUGACCAUUCAGCCUGCCCUGAUCUGCCUGCCUGCCGCCCUGUACCUUCUGGAAUCUGACCUGGUUUAUGACCUUCUGCCUGUCCUCGACUUGCCUCUUGCCUGCCCCUUGUUUUUCAAUAAAUAUCAGAAACUCAAA
rnacentral:lncRNA from 1 species